GAUUCUCAAUUCUCAUCAAACUCUGUUUUGAUCUCUCUCCUCUAACUAGACCGUGCACCACCACAACACGCCACCAGUCACCGCUGUACAUCCUUUCUUCCUCGGACCCCUUGAACUAACUGAGGCCGAUUUGGGUCGAAGUUGCUUAAGAGAUAAGCUUUUUUUUAAUCUUCGAAUUUCAAAUUCUGAGUCUAGGGUGCUUAGUUUUCUUUUUCAGUUUAGUGAUUUUUUUAUUUUUGAGAAAACAAUUUACUGAAUUUUUGGUUCUGGUUUAUAAAUUUAUAAUGGAUUAUUUUGAUUUGUUUAAUUUCUUGGGGUUGCUUUUAUUUUAAUUAGCGUGGGUAAAUUAAUAUUAUGUGCUCUUCUGAUUGUGGCACAUGAAUUUGCAAGCAGCUGUUAGAUUUGUAUGUCAACUCUUAGAUCUUCUGUUAAAAAAUUGAUUUUUUAUUAUUAAAUUGGGUUACUAAUAUUCUUUAUAAGAUAUGAAUUAUCUAGAAAUGUCAAGUUUAUAAAGGAUUGGUUAGUGAUUGUGUAAUUACCAUUACGACUCAUUAAAUGUCAUUAACUCCCUUUUCUUUUCAAUUUUCAGUUUUCUAGAAAGGAAUUCUUUCGUUAUGAUCGAAGGAGGGAAGUUCAGGCUCUUCGAAUGAGAGCAACGUUGCCGUUGCCUAGGAGGAAUUACGGGCAGAUUCCGAAACCGAAGCUAAAUCGCAGACUCCAUGACAACCAAGGGUUAGAAAUACUAGAGGUAUAAUUGGAUUCAUUGCUUCCUUACCAACCCUUGAACCCUUGUUCAAGUGCAACCAGACAAAUGAUUUAUGCCAACAAGACACAAGGAGGAUUCAUUGCUAAGCUUUCUAAAUUUGUUAUUUCAACUGAAUUAUAUACUUGUGUUUUAAAGGUAUGAUCUGAUUUUGGGAGCAAUAAAUACAUUCUAUGUAUUUUCCUUACGUUCUUCUUAAUAUAGGCCUAUAGGGUUUCUAAAAGGAAUUUAUGGGUUUUAAAUUGUCGUAAUAUUUGGUUUUUGUAGGCAUAUAUCAGCGGUUUUUGGGGUUUUGUUUGGAUGGUUUAUUUUUAUAAUUUUGUUUAUCAACUAUGUAAAAUUAUGAACUUGAAUUUUGUUUUUAGUUACUGCUUGUUGUAGAAUUUACGAAAUAUUGGGUUGAAUUUGAAUCGAUUGCUCAUCUAAUAUCAGUCGCUUUUGUACUUAGUUAGAUUUUGUGCUUAUUGUUAAUGGUCUAGCUGACUCGCCGUAGGAGAUUACAAGGAGGGGUAUUGUAUUGGUGUUGAAGUGCUUGAGAAUGAUCCUGAAAGCAGAGAAGCCGUUUUAUGGGCCAAAUGUUUGGCCAGCUUCAGGAAGGUAGCUAGGAGUGUUGCAAGGAUUAUAUCUCUAGAACUUAGUCUGGACGCGGAUUUCUUUGAUUAGCAUCGGGAAACCUAUCUCAAUCUUACGCAUGUUGCACUUUGAAGGUGGAAAUCAAAUUGUUUACUUAAUUUCAGUAAUUGAUAACUUAUCAUAUCCAUUGUCAAUAGUCUUGUAAUUUUUUUUGUUACAUAAAGAUAUUGAUUCGUCAAAAGGAAUUUUUAAUAAUUUAUGGAGCUGGUACACAUUCGUUGAAGUGAAAUUAGACGGUUGAAUGUAGCUAUUGACUAUUGUGUUAUGUGAGAUUGCAAUAUUGCAUGUCAAUAAAGUACUGUAUGGAGCCUUUUGUGAAUAAUAUAUGAUGAUAUUAGUUUAGUCAGUGUUAA